UACAGAGGGUGCGAGCGUUGUCCGGAAUCACUGGGCGUAAAGGGUGCGUAGGUGGCUUGGUAAGCGUGUGGUGAAAGUCCGGGGCUCAACCCCGGAUCUGCCGUGCGAACUGCUGAGCUCGAGCAAUGUAGAGGCAGGUGGAAUUUCGGGUGUAGCGGUGGAAUGCGUAGAGAUCCGAAAGAACACCAGUGGCGAAGGCGGCCUGCUGGGCAUUUGCUGACACUGAGGCACGACAGCGUGGGGAGCAAACAGG
rnacentral:rRNA from 1 species